UCCUUUGAAAAUUUCGUACAUGUAUACCA
rnacentral:piRNA from 1 species